rnacentral:rRNA from 1 species
UAAGGUUAAGUUAAUAAGGGCGCACGGUGGAUGCCUUGGCACUAGAAGCCGAUGAAGGACGUGACUAACGACGAAAUGCCUUGGGGAGCUGUAAGUA